rnacentral:rRNA from 1 species
AUUGAACGCUGGCGGCAUGCCUUACACAUGCAAGUCGAACGGCAGCGGGGACUUCGGUCCGCCGGCGAGUGGCGAACGGGUGAGUAACGUAUCGGAACGUACCAUUGAGUGGGGGAUAACGUAGCGAAAGUUACGCUAAUACCGCAUAUUCUCUCCGGAGGAAAGCAGGGGACCGCAAGGCCUUGCGCUCUUUGAGCGGCCGAUAUCAGAUUAGCUAGUUGGUGAGGUAAAGGCUCACCAAGGCGACGAUCUGUAGCGGGUCUGAGCGGAUGAUCCGCCACACUGGAACUGAGACACGGUCCAGACUCCUACGGGAGGCAGCAGUGGGGAAUUUUGGACAAUGGGGGCAACCCUGAUCCAGCCAUGCCGCGUGAGUGAAGAAGGCCUUCGGGUUGUAAAGCUCUUUCGGCCGGGAAAAAAUCGCAUGGGCUAAUACCCUGUGUGGAUGAUGGUACCGGAAUAAGAAGCACCGGCUAACUACGUGCCAGCCGCCGCAGUAA